rnacentral:rRNA from 1 species
AGCAGCCGCGGUAAUUCCAGCUCCAAUAGCGUAUAUUAAAGUUGUUGCAGUUAAAAAGCUCGUAGUUGAAUUUCGGGAUUGGCGCAUCGGUCGUGCCUUACGGGGUAUGAACUGGUGCAGUCAAUUUCUCACCUUCUGGAGAACCGCGAUGUCCUUAAUUGGGUGCCGCGGGGAACCAGGACCUUUACUUUGAAAAAAUUAGAGUGUUUAAAGCAGGCAUUUUGCUUGAAUACAUUAGCAUGGAAUAAUAAAAUAGACGGCAUGGUUCUAUUUUGUGGUUUCUAGGACCACCGUAAUGAUUAAUAGGGAUAGUUGGGGGCAUUAGUAUUCAAUUGUCAGAGGUGAAAUUCUUGGAUUUAUUGAAGACUAACUACUGCGAAAGCAUUCGCCAAGGAUGUUUUCAUUAAUCUAAGAACGAAAGUUAGGGAUCGAAAGACGAUCAGAUACCGUCGUAGUCUUAACCAUAAACUAUAGCCGAACUAGGAAUCAGACGAUGUUAAUUUUUAANGUACUCGUUUGCUACCUUACGGGAAACCAAGUGUUUA